UAGGUAGAGGCGCACUCACGAAGAGUAGAUUUUGACAGGAUGGCCAGUCCGUUUGAUGCAGAAUCAGAAAGGCGUGCGUGCCGAAGAAAUUGUAUUGGCAACACAGUUUCUGGGCAUAUCUCCGAAAAGGAGUAUGACUGUCAUCGUUAUGAUGGAGUGCUAUCG
rnacentral:ncRNA from 1 species